CACACAUUCCGUGGUUACCUGGCAAGGAUGGAGUCUUCAGAGAGUGAACCAUUCGGCAGGUGAAAUUCAUGAGGGAAAAGGAAGGAAAGGACUGGAACAUGUGCCCCUUGAGACCAAGAGGGCGGGUGUUCCCGGAAAGCAGACGGGAAAUCCAUCCUUGUUCUUCUUCCACCAUCCAGCCAUCCUCUCCUGCACCGCAACGCAGGGCUGGUGCACAGUGUCCGCUACCUUGUGGCCGUGCCCGACCCUGAGAGCUCCUCCGGGAGACAGGCCUCCACGAGCUCCUUUUAUCCCCCUGUGCUAACUUCAACCACCAGGAGCCUUGUAGAGAACAGGCUUGUUGCUGUGUGAUGAAGUGGAGAAGGAGCGGUUCCUGUCAUCCUAUAUUUUCAGAAAGGAAUCCUAUUUGUCUCAACCACAAAUAUUUUCCAGUUCAACCUACAUUCCGUACAAGACCAAACGCCAAACUGACGUGGCUGAAUGAAAAUGAACCUGGGAGCUCUGAACAACCCAGAUGCCUUUCAGUGCCCUUCGGAGACCCCAGCCCCCAUGCCAUGGGGGACGUUGUGAGCUCUACAAUUCCCGCAGGGUCUUUGUCAGUUUUUCUAUUGAUUUAAAAGAUGGCAACACCACUCAUGCAAAGUCUGAAUGGAGCCUGUGAAUCAUGGCGCCCUGGACUGACCUCACCAGUAGGGGGAUGCUGAUGGCCCAGGUGCCAGGAAGCAGCACCAACGAUGUGGGGCCAGUCCAUUGAAGAGGAAGGAUGGCGUCAUCUUGCUGACCUCGGAACUGAACAUGGCGCUUCGCUUGGGGACUACACUGCCUCUAAGUUUCCUAUUGAAUUAUGCAAACACUUUCCAUCUUCUGAGAAGAGGAAUGUUUUAAAUUCACCUGCAAAAAGUAAAAUAAAACAAAACAGUAUUUUUUCUAGAAACUAGAUUUAUAUAACGCAGAUAAUUUGUUUUAUUCCCCAAGACCAUGGAUAAUCUAAUAAACAUCAUCAACCCGAGUUUUAAAAAAAGGAGAUUUUCUGUAAAAUAAGGCCUAAAGCAAAAUCCAAGCCAGCAAGUGUGUAUCCGUCU
rnacentral:lncRNA from 1 species